rfam:Monosiga brevicollis mitochondrion, complete genome.
AACGAAGUGCCUGAGCGGUUAAAGGGGCAAACUGUAAAUUUGCUGUAUUAGUUUACUCGUAGGUUCGAAUCCUACCUUCGUUA